rnacentral:rRNA from 1 species
ACCCGCUGAACUUAAGCAUAUCAGUAAGCGGAGGAAAAUAAACCAACUGGGAUUCCCUUAGUAGCGGCGAGCGAAGAGGGAUACAGCCCGACACCGAAUCCUGAAUCGACGAUGAUAACGAUGAUUACGGGACAUGUGGUGGAUGGGAAUUUAAACUACCGUCGGAUAUUGGAAAACUCCUAAUCGUUCCGAGUUCAUUCGAAAAGGGCUUUUCCCAUAGAGGGUGUUAGGCCCGUAGGGACGUAAAUUUACACGGAGUACCGUCGUCGAGUUAAUUCCCGGGAGUAACGUUGCUCGUGAGUGCAGCGCGAAGUGGGUGGUAGGUUCCAUCCAAGGCUAAAUAUUCGGACGAGUCCGAUAGCGAACAAGUACCGUAAGGGAAAGUUGAAAAGGACUUUGAAGAGAGAGUUCAAUAGAACGUGAAACCGUCGUGAGGUAAACGAACGGGACCGAACGAAUACGAUACGAUGGGAAUGAACGUGCCCUACGAUUAAAAGUGAGUUAACACGUACGUCGCGGUUGUUAAACAUAAUCGGUCGGUUACCUAUUAAUCUAUGGGUACGUUAUUGCCUAAACGUUCGCAGCGUUGUCGUAAUCGGCAUCGAACGAAUAUAGUCGAACGAGUAUAGAGUCUUUUUGUGAAAAACGAUCUUCUCGUUGUUGUUUGGAAACAUAUUACGUUACCGAUGCCGUAGGUUUGAUUACGACAUUUAGUAGGUAACCCGUACGUCCCGUCUUGAAACACGGACCGAGGAGUCCUAAACACGCGCGAGUCGAAGGGAAAUUACUAAACCCGUAGGCGAAGCGAAAGCGAACGAGAGGACACACACAUCGUGGGAUCCCGAACGCGUACGAUAAUCAAUAAGGUACCAACGGACGGGCGCACCACCAUCCCGAUUGCUGUAAAAAGCGAACGGAGAAGAGUAGCGCGUGUUUAGGGACCCGAAAGAUGGUGAUCUAUGCUUGGGCGGGACGAAGCCAGAGGAAACUCUGGUGGAAGUCCGCAACGUCUCUGACGUGCAAAUCGAUCGUCUGACCCGAGUAUAGGGGCGAAAGACCAAUCGAACCAUCUAAUAGCUGGUUCCCUUCGAAAUUUCCCUGAGGAUAGCCGGUGCUCGUUAUAAGCAGUUCCAUCCGGUAUAGCGAACGAUUGGAGGAUUAGGAGUUUUUUAAUAAACUUCGUCCUAUUCUCGAACUAAAAAUUGGAUGGGAAUGACAAUCUCACCAAAUCGGAGAUGUGUCAAAAUAAUAAUAUACGGUGAGGUACAGAGUAUAACGAAUGCGAGAGUGCCGUGUGGGCCUCUCAUGGUAAGCAUGAGUGGCGAUGUGGGAUGAACCAAGAGUACGGCUAAGGCGCCUAACGUUGACGCUCAUCGGAUCCCAAGAAAGGUGUUGCUCGAUAGAGACAGCAGGACGGUGGCCACGGAAGUCGGCAUCCGCUAAGGAGUGUGUAACGACUCACCUGCCGAAUCGAACUGCCCUGAAAAAGGAUGGCGCUAAAGCGUCAGGCCGAUGCCGUUCCGUCGUCGUAUAACAAUAUGAACACGAAAGUAGACGACGACGAGUAGAAGGGCGUAGCGGUGUGCGUUGAAGUUUUAUAGAUGCGAAUCUAAAUGGAGCCUCCGCUAGUGCAGAUCUCGGUGGUAGUAGCAAAUAUUCAAACGAGAACUUUGAAGGCCGAAGUGGAGAAGGGUUCCUCGCCAACGUCGUUCGGACAAGGGUUAGUCGGUCCUAAGACAAAGGAAAAUUCCUUAUACAAAUACGGAUUAUACAUGUAAUCCAUUGGUCGAAAGGGAAUCGAGUUAAUAUUCUCGAACCCGGCUUCGGAGAAACGAAAAGAAUAAAUUUCUUUUCGGUGAGCGGUAACGCAAACGACCUCGGAGACAUUGUCGGAUGCCUCGGGAAGAAUUCUCUUUUCUUUUUAAGAGACCCGUCCGUACCCUGGAAUCGGUUCGGCCGGAGAUAGGGACGUGGUGAUUCUCGAAGAGCGUUACGGUUUCACGUAACGUCCGAUGCGCUUUCGACGAUCCUUGAAAAUCCGAGUGAGUAUAACACAAAUCUCGAGCCGGUCCGUACCCACAUCCGCAACAGGUCUCCAAGGUGAACAGCCUCUGGUCGAUGGACUGAAUGUAGGUAAGGGAAUUCGGCAAAAUGGAUCCGUACCUUCGGAAGAAGGAUUGGCUCCGAGGGCCGGGUCGUUCGGGCCUAAGUUAUUUUAUUGAUGGAGGUUAAUAAAAAAACGAAAAGGCUUAAAAAAAAUAAACGAUGGAGUAUCGUUUAUUAUAAUAUACGUUCGACGAGAAAUGAACGGUCAACUCGGAACUGGUACGGACAAGGAGAAUCCGACUGUUUAAUUAAAACAUAGCAUCGCGAAGGCGGGUGAUCCGUGUAGACGCGAUGUGAUUUCUGCCCAGUGCUCUGAAUGUCAAAGCGAAGAAAUUCGAAUAAGCGCGGGUAAACGGCGGGAGUAACUAUGACUCUCUUAAGGUAGCCAAAUGCCUCGUCAUCUAAUUAGUGACGUGCACGAACGGAUUAACGAGAUUCUCGCUGUCCCUACCUACCGUCCAGCGAAACCACAGCCGAGGGAACGGGCUCGGAAUUAUCGGCGGGGAAAGAAGACCCUGUUGAGCUUGACUCUAGUUCGAUGUUGCGAAAGGAUGCUUAAGGUGUAGUGUAGGUGGGAGUCGUUCUAAACAUUGCCGUUUAAGUUCGACGUAAUUGAAACACCACCACUUUGGCAGUUUUUUCGCUAAUCCGAUAAUGUGGUUAAGCAGCCGAAUUUAAUAGGAAGUAAAGUUUUUAGCGUGUGGAAACUGAACCAUAAUCGGAGACAUCAUCGAUCGGGGAGUUUGACUGGGGCGGUACGUCUGUCAAAAGGUAACGCAGACGUCCUAAGGCGAGCUCAACGCGGUUAGAAACCACGUUUAGAGCAUAAGGGUAAAAGCUCGCUAGAUCUCGAUUUUCAGUAUGAAUACAGACCGUGAAAGCGUGGCCCAUCGAUCCUUUCUGUAUCGAGAACCAUAAAUUAAUAAAAUUCGAUCGAGAGGUGUCAGAAAAGUUACCACAGGGAUAACUGGCUUGUGGCGGCCAAGCGUUCGUAGCGACGUCGCUUUUUGAUCCUUCGAUGUCGGCUCUUCCUAUCAUGUGCGAAGCAGAAUUCGCCAAGCGUUGGAUUGUUCACCCACUAACAGGGAACGUGAGCUGGGUUUAGACCGUCGUGAGACAGGUUAGUUUUAUCCUACCGAUAAAGUUAAGUCGUCUUGAUGGUAACGUUCCGUUUAGUACGAGAGGAACGACGGAUCCGGAUCAACGGUUCGCGUGCUCGUUCGAAUGGACGAUGGUGCCAAGCCGCAUCCGGGCGAUAACGACUGAACGCCUCUAAGUCAGUA